UGGGGAAUAUUGGACAAUGGGCGAAAGCCUGAUGCAGCCAUGCCGCGUGUAUGAAGAAGGCCUUCGGGUUGUAAAGUACUUUCAGCGGGGAGGAAGGGAGUAAAGUUAAUACCUUUGCUCAUUGACGUUACCCGCAGAAGAAGCACCGGCUAACUCCGUGCCAGCAGCCGCGGUAAUACGGAGGGUGCAAGCGUUAAUCGGAAUUACUGGGCGUAAAGCGCACGCAGGCGGUUUGUUAAGUCAGAUGUGAAAUCCCCGGGCUCAACCUGGGAACUGCAUCUGAUACUGGCAAGCUUGAGUCUCGUAGAGGGGGGUAGAAUUCCAGGUGUAGCGGUGAAAUGCGUAGAGAUCUGGAGGAAUACCGGUGGCGAAGGCGGCCCCCUGGACGAAGACUGACGCUCAGGUGCGAAAGCGUGGGGAGCAAACA
rnacentral:rRNA from 1 species